UACAGAGGUCUCAAGCGUUGUUCGGAAUCACUGGGCGUAAAGGGUGUGUAGGCUGUGCGUUAAGUCAGAUGUGAAAGCCCAGGGCUCAACCUUGGAACUGCAUCCGAUACUGGCGUGCUAGAGAAUUGGAGAGGAGUCUAGAAUUCACGGUGUAGCAGUGAAAUGCGUAGAUAUCGUGAGGAAUACCAAGUGCGAAGGCAGGACUCUGGACAUUUUUCUGACGCUGAGACACGAAGGCUAGGGGGAGCAAACGGG
rnacentral:rRNA from 1 species